rnacentral:rRNA from 1 species
UGGUGGGGUGACUUGUCUGCUUAAUUGCGAUAACGAACGAGACCUUAACCUGCUAAAUAGCCCGCAUUGCUCCGGCAAUGCGCUGGCUUCUUAGAGGGACUUUCGGCUCAAGCCGAAGGAAGUUUGAGGCAAUAACA